AAUACUGAUGUUUUAUUUAAAUUAAACAAUUAUUGAAAUGCAGUCAACAUUUAAAAAAAAAUAAUCUGCAUUUCAUUUAUUAUUUGGUAACAAAAUUUAAUAUAUUUUUACAUAAAUUGAAAUUAAUCACCUGUCCAGGUUUUCAGUUUACAAAUAUGCCCCUGGAUUGAGAAUAUGAAGUGAAGAUAUGUAUUAAUUAUUUCCCCCGGCUAAUUGGGGUAUAUAGGAAUCACCUUGGACAGACGUCUGUCUGUCUUGGACAGACGUCUGUCUGUCUUUUCAUAUGUCUGUGGGCGUUCACUUAAAAUUCAACGUUAAGCAUUCAAACUUUCAGGUAUUGUUUAAUCUCAUACAAGGUUGUGCAUGUACAUUUUGUAUCAUAAUACUCUAAAAAUUACAAAACUUAGAAAUUCUAUAACCUCUGCUACAUAGACUUGUGGCAUUGGGGGAUAUUCUAUGUAACAAUGGUUACAAAUUAUUGUUUGACUAGACAGCAAUUACACUUUUUGAGCUGAUUAAGCAUUUUCCAGUAAUAUUUAUAAGGAUUAGAAAAUGUUGUUCUAAGUAUUUUGGAAAAAAAAGCCAUAUUGUGCUUUUGGAUUGAGUCAGCCACAUAACUUGUUAAUUUAAUAAUUUAAUGGUCAUGAAAUAAUUUCUAUGGUCAUUCUCUCUCUGAUUCUAGUAUGGCAAUUGUCUGUUACUGGCAUAAGUAUAUGUACUCAGUAAGGCCAGGAAAAGGUUAAUUUAAUGACCACACUACUAUGACUAAAAUGCAUUUUUAUGUGUGUAGAGGUCAAUUAAAAAAUUAUAAAAUUCCUGUACUUUUUAGCUGUUUCAUACAGGACCCCGUACAAUCACAGAUUGGUGCCCAGCUGAACAACAGACUCUCUCACUUAAGCCAGGCCUGAACGCAUGGGGUCACUUCCUGUGUAUGGGUGGCCAAAUGUCAAACUAGUACCAAUCUGUGCCCAAAAAGCAGCCGUAGCCGUGGGGGGCAGGUUCAUGAUGCAACCGUGGUCUCAUUGCUCUCUGAACAUCUCUUUCCCAACAGCAACAGUACAGCAACAUGACCUGGGUCAUACCGUUGCCAGUUCAAGCUUAGAGGACCAUGUUCCCCAAAUCCAAUGUGGCCCUAUAUCUCCACAGGUCUAGUUGUCUUGCUUACAACAAGAGUGCCCAAAAUUUGAUCAUGAUCAAGGAAGAAAGAAAGCCACAGGAUAAGACCCAAUAAGAACAAAUAGCUGCUUCAGCAUCAAUAGCCUAUCUCUGUACAAGGCUUUCAAAUGUAAUAUUGUAGUGACAUAGUAGACAUGUUGUCUUCCUAGCGACUGGGAGGUCAGGCUUGGAUCCUCACUCUUGGAGCAUUCUUAUAAGGAGUCCUCCAAAGACAUAAACUCUUCAAUUAUUUGACAACGCGGCAAUCAACAUGGUUCCAUUCCAGGAAUACCUCGCAGAGCUAAUGAACAGAGCCAGUGCGUAGAACAUGAUUUUCAGGAGGAAUAGGAACCUAGGCCCAAUAUCAACCUGGUUCCAAUCUCGCGAAGAUGUCCACCGGCCGCCCCCUAGCACAAGCCUCGUUAGCCCCAAGGUGUUGUCAUGAUGCCCCUGGACAACAGCUCUUGUUGGGCUCUUCCCAAUAGCAGUAGAUCAACAUGGCAUAUCAGCAUGAUGCCCCAAACCAGCGCUUCAUAUUUAGCUACCAGCAGUAUCCAUGCAACCAAACCUUGAUCACUCAGCAACAGAUAAAUCAGCAGCAGGGAUGGAGUUAGCCGUUUCAACGUCUGCUCAGUUGCCUCUCAGAGCCAGUCGGCUUGCUGUGUUGCUUAGCCAAUCCACUACUUAUGUCGCAGCACAAUAUCUCAUCUGGAUCCAUUCCACUGCUGGCGCAACAGCAGGUCUGUUCUCUGUACAGAGCCGUUUCUAUGAUGAUGAAGUCCUACAACUCGCCCAGUAUUUGCUUUUGCGUCAGGGUCAGGUUCAAGGCCUCAUGGGCUUUGGUGGUCUGGGCAAGAUGGGAAUGUUAGACAGCAACAACAACAGUUAAGAAAAUAGCAACAGCAUAAUAGACAGACACAGCAGCAAUGGCCACAGCACCAACAAUAGCAGCAACAGAUGAUGGCUUAGCUUCAUCAGCAACAGCAGAAGCAACAAGAUCUUACGUCCAUGGACCAUUUAGAUGUCACUUUAGAAAUUCAGAAGAUCUUUAUGAAAGAAUAAACAUGGAUUGCAUGGCAUUGAGUUUGGUUUGGAAGCAGUUACUAUCGCAGAACUCGAGCCAGCAAAGGUCAUUCUCACAGGAAUCCAGUAUCUCCAUGGUGCAGGACCCACAGUCUAUGAACGUUGUGGAGCUUGAACCUUGGACGCCAAUUGAAAAAUAUCCAAACCGUCCAAUCAGAAAGACAGUCUGUUGCAGCAGUUAUUCAAACCUAGGAUGCUUAGUGAUAAACAUAAAUAAACACAUGCUAGUCCCUAAGUGCCUGCAUUGGCUGUUUUAAAGCCUUGCUGUCCAUUCUGAACACUUAAAUGGAAGCUCUCACCUUAGAAUUUUGGGAUAGGUCGAAACCCAGUGGCAUGGUGCAGACUAACAUCGCAGAAUGACAAAGAAGUACAAGCCUGUGACCAGCAAUAAACUAAUGUGGCCAGCUAUGUUGUGUCAUGUGACCAGCCAAGCUGUGUGUAAAGAGAAAACUAUAGUUCAUAUCUUGUGGGAUUUAUGACGCUUUAAGUGAUUUGCUGUUAUAUGUUUUUGUGAUAUAUAUAGUUAAUUAUAAUCAAGUGAAGAUUACUUGUUUAAAGUGAUUAUGUAAAGUAUUAUUUUAAGUUCAAAAGAGUGCAAGCCUGUGUUGCUACUUUGUCUGUAUUCGAAAGUUUGAUCAAGAUGUUGGUAAAACAUAGAACAUAAACAUAUUUUUUAUUACAUUGAUUUAAAACUUAAGCAAAGUUGUUUAACUAAUAUUGUUAACUUGAAUAAAUUUUCAAACAUU